CUCUUGGGUCCCUUCCCUGCCAAGGAGUAAGAGCAAUUUUGUGUGUGUGUGUGUGUGUGUGUGUGUGUGUGUGUGUGUGUGUGUGNNNNNNNNNNNNNNNNNNNNNNNNNNNNNNNNNNNNNNNNNNNNNNNNNNNNNNNNNNNNNNNNNNNNNNNNNNNNNNNNNNNNNNNNNNNNNNNNNNNNGAGAGAGAGAGAGAGAGAGAGAGAGAGAGAGAGAGAGAGAGAAGCAGCUGAGGUCAAGGAAAAGGAGCUGUGAAAGAGAACUGCUUUCCUCCUUCAUCUCAAUCUGGCUUCUGAAGCUUCCCACGUACUGUGCAGUGUGCAGGCCUAGCUGGGUCAGGGGCCUCCUAAUGCAUUCUGUGUCCAUCAAUAUUGUAAUUACAUAUUUGUGAAAAUAUAUAUUUACAUGCUGCAUUCAUUCAUCCCUUUCAGCCAGAUCUUCUUAAAGGCCAAAUCCUUCCCAUUCAAACCUCUCCACAUCUCCUCAGUGCCCUGGGGACAAAGUCCAAAUGGCCUCCACCAUGCCUUCUGGGCCAGUACCAGGGCUGCUCCUACAUUUCUGGGCUCAGGUGAAGAGCUACACUGUGGUGUGUGGGAUCCAACCCAUAGUCCAACCGAGAUACUCCGGGGGAUUCAAGCCCUAUGCGGUGAACUUUAACAGUGACACAGAGUGCUGGAGGCUGGGAAGUCCAAGAUCAAGGCACCCACAUCUGACAAAGGCCUUCUGGCUGUGUCCUCAUGUGGUGGAAGAUGGAGGAGGAAAGAGACACAGGGGCUACACUCACCUUUUAUGAUGGUGUUAAUCUCACCACGAUGGCCGGGCUGCUGUGGGCCACUUGCCUCCCAGAGGGAGCUAUAUGGCAGGGAGAGGCUGAAGGUGAGGUUCUCAGCCUGAUGUCUUCACCUUGUCCAUGUUUAUAGGGGUAAGCUGAUUUUCUAAAAAUAACUAUUUUAUUGAUUGGUACAAUCAGGGUCUUAGCCUUUGUUUCUGGGAUAAGCCAAUGUUCCCAGGAGCUAUGGCCACGUAGCAAAAAGUAUGCAAAGGUCCCACAAAGGGCAGCCUCCUCCAGUACAUCCGGUCACAAGUAAGCGUGCAGUUAUCUCCAUUAUGCUCCCCACCCAGGUCAGGCCCUAUGCUGCCUAUUCCUCCCUAACUGUCCUACACUGUCCAGUGGCCAGAAAACUGUAGGUGCCCCGCCCUCCCCAACCUCCAAGUUUCUUCCCACUGGGCCUCAUGUGGAUUCUGCCUCCCUCUGCUGUGAAUUGGAGCCUUACUCUGGGUGUGAGCUGCGUCGGUCAUAGAACUUACACCCUUUGCUGCUCACUACCAGGGUGUCCUUUGUUUGUGGGUGUCCAGUGUUUUCUGGUUGUUGUUUGGUUUGGUUUGGUUUUAAGAGAGGAGGUCUCCUUUGUUGCCCAGGCUGGAGUGCCUCACUACUCACAGGAGUGAUCCCAUUGGUAUACUUGGGGCAGAUGCAGAUGAGCACAGUGUGCUACUACCCUGAACUCCUAGGCUCAAUCAAUCCUCCCGCCUCAGCUUCCAAGUGGCUAGGACUACAGGUGUGCACCACACACCUGGCUCUCCAAUGUCUUGAAAACCACUGCUCCACAUGUUUUCUCUCUCUCUCUCUGUCUUUUUUGUUGUUGUUGUUAUUUCUGGUGUGAGAAGAAUCCAGUCCUUGUUAUUCCACCUGGGCCUGGAGCAUAAAUCUCAAUGGUCAUGUGAUUUGGUAAAGUUAGAAAAAAAGAUGAAUUGCAAUCACAAUCAAUAAAAAGCACCAUCUUUUCUCUGCAGGUUCUACUCAAAUUCACUUCCUCUGACACCUAGUACCAUCAGAGUGGCAGAUGACAGUUUGGAAUUUGGGGAAGUAAGCCACUGUCUUAGUCACUUUCCUUGUCACUGGGACAAAAUACCCAACACUCACAACUUAAAGGAAGGAGGAGAGGAUGUUUUGGCUCACAGUUUUAGAAGUUUCAGUCCAUGUCUGGCAGGUUUAAAUACAGGAAUGACAUGGUAGGAAGAACUGGUGGAAGAAAGAUGCUCAUGUCAUGGUGGCUAGGAUGGAGAGAGAGAGAGAGAGAGAGAGAGAGAGAGAGAGAGAGCACAAACUAGGGCUUGGUUGACAGAUAGUUCUGCACAUUAUGCAGGCACCACCCAAAAGUGGACAGCUGCAGUACUACAGCCCCUUUCUGGGAUACCCCUGAGGGACAAU
rnacentral:lncRNA from 1 species